rnacentral:rRNA from 1 species
GACGAACGCUGGCGGCGUGCUUAACACAUGCAAGUCGAGCGGUAAGGCCCUUUCGGGGGUACACGAGCGGCGAACGGGUGAGUAACACGUGGGUGACCUGCCCUCAGCUCUGGGAUAAGCCUGGGAAACCGGGUCUAAUACUGGAUAUGACUCCAUGACGCAUGUUGUGGGGUGGAAAGCCUUGUGCGGCUGAGGAUGGGCCCGCGGCCUAUCAGCUUGUUGGUGGGGUGANGGCCUACCAAGGCGACGACGGGUAGCCGGCCUGAGAGGGCGACCGGCACACUGGGACUGAGACACGGCCCAGACUCCUACGGGAGGCAGCAGUGGGGAAUCUUGGACAAUGGGCGCAAGCCUGAUCCAGCCAUGCCGCGU